AAUUGUUCGCAAUGGGCGCAAGCCUGACGACGCAACGCCGCGUGGAGGAUGAAGAUCUUCGGGUCGUAAACUCCUUUCGAUCGAGACGAAUUCCUCCGGGGUGAACAAUCCCGGAGGUUGACGGUACCGAGAGAAGAAGCCCCGGCUAACUCCGUGCCAGCAGCCGCGGUAAUACGGGGGGGGCAAGCGUUGUUCGGAAUUACUGGGCGUAAAGCGAGUGUAGGUGGUUGUCCAAGUUGGAUGUGAAAGCCUUGAGCUCAACUCAAGAAAUGCAUUCAGGACUGGGCGGCUAGAGGACCGGAGAGGAUAGUGGAAUUCCCAGUGUAGUGGUGAAAUACGUAGAGAUUGGGAAGAACACCAGUGGCGAAGGCGGCUAUCUGGACGGUUUCUGACACUAAGACUCGAAAGCGUGGGGAGCAAAC
rnacentral:rRNA from 1 species